GUUCAAGUUGAUCAGGCUUCAGGAGGAAGAUCCUGCAGUGAUGAUAGAGAAGAUCUUCUCCAGCUGUUCCAGAGUACCACUAACUGCUGAGAACACGGGUUGACCCUGGAGCAUUUCAACCAAUAUACAACCUGCACCCCUGCAAAAAAGAAAUACCAACUCAUUCAAAUUUUGUCAGCCUAUUAGGCUCCUGCCCAGUCCCCCAGACCCUAAUGAAGUCUUUGUCCUUGCA